UACAGAGGUCCCAAGCGUUGUUCGGAUUCAUUGGGCGUAAAGGGUGCGUAGGCGGCGCGGUAAGUCGGGGGUGAAAUCUCGGAGCUUAACUCCGAAACUGCAUUCGAUACUGCCGUGCUUGAGGACUGGAGAGGAGACUGGAAUUUACGGUGUAGCGGUGAAAUGCGUAGAUAUCGUAAGGAAGACCAGUGGCGAAGGCGGGUCUCUGGACAGUUCCUGACGCUGAGGCACGAAAGCUAGGGGAGCAAACGGG
rnacentral:rRNA from 1 species